GAUGAACGCUAGCUACAGGCUUAACACAUGCAAGUCGAGGGGCAUCAGGAAGAAAGCUUGCUUUCUUUGCUGGCGACCGGCGCACGGGUGAGUAACACGUAUCCAACCUGCCCUUUACUCGGGGAUAGCCUUUCGAAAGAAAGAUUAAUACCCGAUGGCAUAAUGAUUCCGCAUGGUUUCAUUAUUAAAGGAUUCCGGUAAAGGAUGGGGAUGCGUUCCAUUAGGUUGUUGGUGAGGUAACGGCUCACCAAGCCUUCGAUGGAUAGGGGUUCUGAGAGGAAGGUCCCCCACAUUGGAACUGAGACACGGUCCAAACUCCUACGGGAGGCAGCAGUGAGGAAUAUUGGUCAAUGGGCGCUAGCCUGAACCAGCCAAGUAGCGUGAAGGAUGAAGGCUCUAUGGGUCGUAAACUUCUUUUAUAUAAGAAUAAAGUGCAGUAUGUAUACUGUUUUGUAUGUAUUAUAUGAAUAAGGAUCGGCUAACUCCGUGCCAGCAGCCGCGGUAAUACGGAGGAUCCGAGCGUUAUCCGGAUUUAUUGGGUUUAAAGGGAGCGUAGGUGGACUGGUAAGUCAGUUGUGAAAGUUUGCGGCUCAACCGUAAAAUUGCAGUUGAUACUGUCAGUCUUGAGUACAGUAGAGGUGGGCGGAAUUCGUGGUGUAGCGGUGAAAUGCUUAGAUAUCACGAAGAACUCCGAUUGCGAAGGCAGCUCACUGGACUGCAACUGACACUGAUGCUCGAAAGUGUGGGUAUCAAACAGGAUUAGAUACCCUGGUAGUCCACACAGUAAACGAUGAAUACUCGCUGUUUGCGAUAUACAGUAAGCGGCCAAGCGAAAGCAUUAAGUAUUCCACCUGGGGAGUACGCCGGCAACGGUGAAACUCAAAGGAAUUGACGGGGGCCCGCACAAGCGGAGGAACAUGUGGUUUAAUUCGAUGAUACGCGAGGAACCUUACCCGGGCUUAAAUUGCAGUGGAAUGAUGUGGAAACAUGUCAGUGAGCAAUCACCGCUGUGAAGGUGCUGCAUGGUUGUCGUCAGCUCGUGCCGUGAGGUGUCGGCUUAAGUGCCAUAACGAGCGCAACCCUUAUCUUUAGUUACUAACAGGUUAUGCUGAGGACUCUAGAGAGACUGCCGUCGUAAGAUGUGAGGAAGGUGGGGAUGACGUCAAAUCAGCACGGCCCUUACGUCCGGGGCUACACACGUGUUACAAUGGGGGGUACAGAAGGCAGCUAGCGGGUGACCGUAUGCUAAUCCCAAAAGCCUCUCUCAGUUCGGAUCGAAGUCUGCAACCCGACUUCGUGAAGCUGGAUUCGCUAGUAAUCGCGCAUCAGCCACGGCGCGGUGAAUACGUUCCCGGGCCUUGUACACACCGCCCGUCAAGCCAUGGGAGCCGGGGGUACCUGAAGUACGUAACCGCAAGGAUCGUCCUAGGGUAAAACUGGUGACUGGGGCU
rnacentral:rRNA from 1 species